rnacentral:rRNA from 1 species
UACAGAGGUCUCAAGCGUUGUUCGGAUUCAUUGGGCGUAAAGGGUGCGUAGGUGGCGCUGUAAGUCGGGUGUGAAAUUUCGGAGCUUAACUCCGAAACUGCAUUCGAUACUGCGGUGCUUGAGGACUGGAGAGGAGACUGGAAUUCAUGGUGUAGCAGUGAAAUGCGUAGAGAUCAUGAGGAAGACCAGUGGCGAAGGCGAAUCUCUGGACAGUUACUGACACUGAGGCACGAAGGCCAGGGGAGCAAACAGG